GACGAACGCUGGCGGCGUGCCUAAUACAUGCAAGUAGAACGCUGAAGGAGGAGCUUGCUCUUCUGGAUGAGUUGCGAACGGGUGAGUAACGCGUAGGUAACCUGCCUGGUAGCGGGGGAUAACUAUUGGAAACGAUAGCUAAUACCGCAUAACAGUAGAUGUUGCAUGACAUUUGCUUAAAAGGUGCAAUUGCACCACUACCAGAUGGACCUGCGUUGUAUUAGCUAGUUGGUGGGGUAACGGCUCACCAAGGCGACGAUACAUAGCCGACCUGAGAGGGGGGUCGGCCACACUGGGACUGGGACCCGGCCCAGACUCCUACGGGAGGCAGCAGUAGGGCAUCUUCGGCAAUGGACGGAAGUCUGACCGAGCAACGCCGCGUGAGUGAAGAAGGUUUUCGGAUCGUAAAGCUCUGUUGUAAGAGAAGAACGAGUGUGAGAGUGGAAAGUUCACACUGUGACGGUAUCUUACCAGAAAGGGACGGCUAACUACGUG
rnacentral:rRNA from 1 species